UACGAAGGGGGCUAGCGUUGCUCGGAAUCACUGGGCGUAAAGGGUGCGUAGGCGGAUCUUUAAGUCAGGGGUGAAAUCCUGGAGCUCAACUCCAGAACUGCCUUUGAUACUGAGGAUCUUGAGUACGGGAGAGGUGAGUGGAACUGCGAGUGUAGAGGUGAAAUUCGUAGAUAUUCGCAAGAACACCAGUGGCGAAGGCGGCUCACUGGCCCGUUACUGACGCUGAGGCACGGAAAAGCGU
rnacentral:rRNA from 1 species